CUUCAAGGCAAGUUUAUUGAAGUACACCUGUGUCAGACUCUUUCCAUAUGCUACGUGGAGUUGCACCCUUUGUAUGCCCAGGUUUUCUUGAUGUUUGGAAACUUGAAAUGUCCUCUGUGCAGUUCCACAAAGUUCUCAGUAAACCUAAACCAAGGUCACACUGCAGUUUUACAUCUAACAAUGCCUCGAGAGAUGUCUCAGAGACAGCUGAGAGACACCUGGUGUUAUGCCAGUAGACACAGAGAAUUGGAUUCCCCAAAUGCCGUACAUCAAAA
rnacentral:lncRNA from 1 species